UUUUUUUUUUGCAGGUGUGGUAAACAUCGACACUUCAGGACUCACAGCACUAGAAGAAAUACACAAGGAGUUGGUUUCUCUUGGCAUACAGGUGAAGUACUUAACUGCUUAGCAUACUUUUAAGUUUGGGGGCAAAAUAAGACUUAUAGUGCCAACUUGCCAGGUAAAAUGUUCUCAUGAUAUUUCUGAAACAAACUAUCUGCAGAUGGCUAUAUCCAGUCCAGGAUGGAAUGCAGUACAGAAGAUGAAAGUGUCGCGGGUCGUGGACAGAAUAGGAGAAGAUUGGAUCUUCCUGACAGUAGGUGAAGCAGUGGAGGCCUGUCUAACUGAACAAAAGGGCACGGCUCUCGAAUGUUGAGCGCGUGGUAAUCAGUAGAAAUAAUCCCAUAAGUGAUGCAGCUUUGCAUCCUAUGAAGGUGUUACUGCAAUGUUUGCGCAUGAUGAGCAGGCAACUACCUAUAACUGAUUGGCUGUAGUGAGGAGUGGCUGUGGGGAACAAAAUCCUGCCGUGCUACAAAGGUUCAUGUUGCCAUGUUGGGCGUUCUAGUCAUGAACUCAUGCUACUUAACCAAGUGUGUCUCUGAUCCCUAAAAAAUAGUUCCGCACCUCCUAAAAAGAGCUACCGGAAAUUAAGAACAAGAAGCAACCACAAGCAUACAGCUGCGCCUCUAUAAGUCUGUAUAAAAAAACCUAAGGGGGAGAGAAGAAGAGCGAGGAGGAGCAGAGCGUACAGGCAAGGCGGUGUCGCCGCUGUGUCCGUCCGUCAGGUCGGACUCGGCGUAGGGUUCGGAGCUUCGGGAAGGAAGGGGAAGCCCUUCGUCUCUGCGAUGACGACGGCGUCGUGCCCCCGCCCGCCGCCGCUCAGACGUGCAAAUUGAGAGCCAAGCCCAUCGGGUCGUUUGCUCUGGGCUGUGCGCGGUCCGUGCUGUUUCUUUUUGGUUAUUAGCGGGCCACGACGGCCCAACGAAUAUACUAGGCCGGCCUGCUGGGCUUAUCAGUUGUGCCAGGCCGCUCAACCGCUCCACUCACUCGGGCCCACUUGCCCGGCCCCAGGUCGACGAGUACCGCGUGCCCUUUCGUCGUCUUCCCGGCGUCGAGCCGCCGGUCUCGCUGCCGCGUGUGCACGCGCCGCCCUCCCGUGCGGGCACUGCUGCGAUGCCGAAGAGUGCGGAGAUGGCGGCUAGUAGGUCCGUAGGGAGCGAGCGAUGCACUGAUGCAACGGACGAGAGGGAGGAGGAGGAGAGGGAGAUGGAUGGAUGGUGAAUCAGGCAGCAAUGGGGCGAAACGCCCAAGAAUGGGGGAGGAUAAGGCGCGACCGGGCGAGAGAGCCCACCUCGGCCUUGUCUUCAGGUUGCCCUCGAUUCCUGGGAGAUGCGAUUUCUUACAACAGCGACCUUACGCUAUUGUUUUUUCAUUUUCCAUGAAUGGACUUCACCCGAUGUACGCCAUUGUUUUCUUGCCGGCUUUUUACAGGAAGUCAGAAGUACUCGCCUCUAAAAAAGUACCAGGCACUCAUCGUUAGUUCCCUCGAAAUAAAAAUCCCUAAAAAAAGAGCAUGAAACACCUUUGCUUCUCUCUUUACAUUUGAAAGAAGCCUUCACUUAUACAUCUUGGUUUCACUUCCAUAGAAACUGGAUGUAGACUCUGCAGUACUAGAUUGUUGUUGAGAACUAUGCUAAGAAAAGCAAUAUAGUUUGAUUACACGUGUUAAAGGACGGUAGUUACUUUUUACUAAAGGGAGUAAUGAAAGCAAUCAGAUCGUCUGCAUCCACUUAAAAAAAAGGAAAAAAAAACUUUGUUCUGUCUAGGCCUAAACAUCCCGUCCGUGCGUGAUUUUCUUUGCACAGUAUUAUAGUUGACUCUAGCCAAUUAUUCGAAAUUUUGAAAGGAACAUACCUUGAUUGGCAAUGAGUAAGUGGACAAACCACUUCCCUCAACACAUCCAAUGAGCUAUUUUGUGUAUUAUGAUCAAAGUCUAUACUUGCUUGCCAUGGGUCCAAAAUAUGUGGCCACCAUUCACCACUCACCAUUCUUGGCUAGCCAUAUUUGUUACUGCCACACAUUUGUUUGGUAAGGCCAACUUAUAUCAAAUCACAUGUUAGACUAAUUAGUUUGAUUCUAUCAGAACACUUGAUUGCGUAGAAUAUUGAUAUUCGAAUCUUGCUUAAAGCAAAGCCAUGUGGGUAUGUGGCUGGGUACAUCUGCGUUGGCGUAAUCAAUGUGUGACAACCGCAAAUUCAGCACUUAUCGUAUGCAUGAUACGCAGAGCUCAAAAUAGAGGCCUGCUCCAAGAUAAGCCUCCUUGUCUUUCGAAAAAAUAUAAGCCUCCUGGGUUGAGUACUAUAGCACAACUUCUGUCAUCAUUCAUCCUAUGGUUCAGUAAAACAUUUCUAUUUUUAUUCUGCUUGAAGAUUAUGGUGAUUGAAGAACUUCAAAGUCAAAUGAGGGUCAGCUGUGCAAUUAUUUAUGGAAAAGUCGCAUUAAGUUCUAUCAUUCACCACUUUUUCCUUCAACAAUAUUACUGCAGGUCAGCAAUUUUAUUUGCAGUUAUCCCUGUGUCUCCAUAUAUUCCCUUUAAUUUCGUUGGCAAAGAGCAAGUGAUUGGAGGGGACAUAAAAAGUGAUUUUCUUCUUAUUCUCUGAACAGGAAGCGGUAACUGCUAUCUGUUGGUUCUAGAAAACUUUUUUGCAACAAUUGGAACCUUUUCUUUAGUGCUGCUUGCUGCUCCUUUGCUGAAGCCUGCUAUGGUAGUUCUCAUUCACAUUUAGGCGGAGCUAUGUGUGGGCCAUGGCCCCCCCUUGCUUGUACAAGUUUCUCACUAGUAGAUUGUUGCACCAGAUGAAACAUUUUAGCAUCAGCAUGAAUUAGCAACACAUCAUUUUACUCGGUACACGUUGAUGAUUGCAUUCCAUACAGUCAUAUUUCUCCUCUUCUUCCUCAACAAGUCAACAUCAAGCAAACAAACAUGUUUUUCUCUUUGCUUGAUGCUUCUACGACCAUUAAAACCACCAGUUGUGCAGUGUUUCGAGGUCUUGCCCCUCACCUCCCUAUUGUCACUGUUGAUGUCCAUACUUACUAUAUACCUUGGACAUGGUGUUUCCUGGCAGCAGUCACUCGCCACAAUAUCUGCUUGCGUGCUGCAUGUUUUCCUUUGCUGUUUUCUUGGUUGUGAACUUGCAAUUCUGAAGAGUCAGCUACUUAGGCAUGCAAAGAGCCAAAGAGUACCAAUUGGAAUGCCACAGAUAAUAGUCAGAUAGACAACCUGUAUUUCCAUCAAAACAAAGCCUAGUGGAACAGUCAUGAUUAGAAAUCUGGGGUACAGUUGAAUUCAUUUGGUGUAUUAAUGUGCCUCCUUUGCAUACCAAGAUGCGUCUGCAAAAAUAGGAGGCCCAACCGUGUAUAAUGCACUGUCUCUUGUCUCUAAAAGGUAUCUUGCUUUAACCAAGAACUAUAGGCACAGGCCCUUUAUAGUGCAUCCAUUCCUUUCUUGAAUAGUACUCAGCAUAAACCAAGAGCACUAUAUAUAGCACAUUGUAAGAUCAACUUAGAGCAGUGAAAUACACCUGAAUCAUCCAAGAUUCACGCGGAUCUGUGCUGCUUGCCUGAAAUCUUUUAGGGACCAAUAUGAUGUGAUGGAAUCUUGGCAGUUCUCUCAGGGAGUUCACCCAAACACUUCAAAACUAGCCAUCGAGCCUAUGGCAAGCGAGGCAUCUGUACCCAAAAGGGAAGGUUUUGCAGACCUGGUGCUGCAAGGGCCAGAGCCUCCAAGCCUGUGGUAUGAACUUAUUGGCAUGCUUAGAAAGGCAGUUCGCUACCGAAGUGCAGAUAAGCAUUUCACACUCUCUGUGUGCGCAAUGUCAAUUCUGCAUAGUCUGUUUCCAAUACUUGAAUGGUCGAAAAGCUACAGCUUGAAGUCUUUUCGAAGCGACGUCAUGGCUGGUCUUACUCUCGCAAGCCUUAGCAUUCCACAGGUGACAUUUUUUGGAUGAUAAGUAAUAUUGUUAGUACUCAUACAUAUAUUUUACAUGUAUUUGACUUGCUUCAUUGGAUUGGUAUUUUCUAGAGCAUUGGAUAUGCAAAUCUGGCAAAACUGGAUCCUCAGUAUGGUCUUUGUAAGUAAAAUUGCUUUUCGCUUUUCUCUCUUUUGAUGUUUCGUUGACCUACCCCAACUUUCUGGGACUAAAAGGAUUUGUUGUUGUUGUUUCUCUUUUGAUGUUCUUCUGAUUAAGUGGUUCUUUUUUUUGUGGGGAAGAUACAAGUGCCGUGCCACCUCUUGUAUAUGCUGUUAUGGGGACCUCUAGGGAGAUAGCCAUCGGACCAGUUGCAGUUGUGUCACUCUUGCUUUCAUCAAUGGUUCAGAAGAUAGCUGACCCAGCCAUCGAUCUGGCUUCCUAUCGGAAAAUGAUUUUCACUGUGACAUUCCUUACUGGUGUCUUCCAAUUUGCAUUUGGUCUGUUGAGGUAGAGCCUUAGCAGUCUUGUGAUCACAAUGAGCUUACUUUCCUUACUUUCACUAAUUGGCCUUUUGCAUCGAUGCUUAGGUUGGGUUUCCUUGUGGAUUUUCUCUCACAUGCUGCAAUCACUGGAUUCAUGGGAGGAGCUGCCAUUGUUAUUGGACUGCAGCAGUUGAAGGGGCUACUUGGGCUUAGUCAUUUCACAAGUAACACAGAUAUUGUAUCUGUCACCAGAGCAGUUUGGGUUUCUGUUCAUGAACCAGUAAGCAUUUUGCCCUUCUGUUCACUGUCAAUGGACACAGAACGAUAUCUUGAAAAGAAAAGUUCCAAUGAAAGAAUCGAUGAUCAUGGAUGUUGGCUUAUCAUAUGCAUAGUCAAUCUUGCUAUAGCAACUGUAAACUCUCUUUACCAAUUACUCUUGAUUGGACAACCACAAGUCUGUAAGGAAAUGUGUCUUUGAGUGACUAGUGUAGUUUUUGUUCGUUUUCAUUUCUUAAUGUUUUUCUGAUAAAUCCUUGUUAAUUUUCGCAUUUUUUGUCAUAAUGUUUGUUAUUUUUGGAUACCUCCUUUUUAAUGCAACGUUCAUCUGGCAUGUGGUGGCAGUGGCACCCCGAGAACUUCUUCAUUGGAUGUUCCUUUUUCCUGUUCAUUCUUGGCAUGAGAUUCAUAGUAAGAUUAUCUAGCUGUUCUCACUCUCAUUUGCUUAUAUGUUCACUUGCUUCUUUUCUUGCAAUACAUGAUUUAAAGGUUGGGACAUCAAUAAUUUUAGGGUCGGAAAAAUAAGAAGCUCUUCUGGGUCUCAGCGAUUGCACCUGUGCUCUCAGUUGCAUUAUCUACUCUCAUGGUUUAUAUGACUAGAGCUGAUAACCGUGGUGUGAAAAUCAUACAAAAAGUGGAUGCAGGCAUCAAUUCGAGUUCAGUCAAGCAGAUAAAUCUCAAUGGACCCUAUGUUACAGAAUGUGCAAAGAUAGCUCUUAUUUGUGCUGUUAUUGCUCUAACGGUAUGAGUUUACUGUACGAAUAUAUUAAACUGCACCAUAGGUCAACGUAAAAAACGUCUCCUAAUAUAGCAGUGGAGUUGAUUAAUGAUUCAAUGCUCUUAUAUGAACAAAUAAGUACACAAUUGCAAAAUCCUCAAGUCCCAACAUCCACUACUUAGAUUAAAAUUGGCUCGCCAAUUACUCUGCAUUUGCUCUGAAACUAUGCAGGUUUCUUGUAAAAGAAAUGAACUACUCUUACAUGAGUCCAAUUGUAAUUGAAAAAACUAGUAGAUACAAUGCAGGUUUCUUUUAAAAGGAGUGAACUACUCUUAUAUUAAUUCUUAUCUGCUGUUUCUUACUUUGUUAUAGGAAGCAAUUGCUGUUGGUCGCUCCUUUUCAGUCAUAAACGGAUAUAAAUUGGAUGGCAAUAAGGAAAUGGUAGCGAUGGGCUUCAUGAAUGUAGCAGGAUCCUUAUCAUCUUGCUAUGUGGCAACAGGUGUAUAAAAGUUAAGCACUAUCAUGUACUGCUGUUAACUUGUUUUACAGCUACAUUACGGUGGCCAUUAUCUGCAGGGUCUUUCUCCCGGACAGCUGUAAACUUCACAGCUGGCUGUAAGACAGCCGUGUCAAAUGUUGUCAUGGCUGCCACUGUGAUGGUUGCCUUGGAGCUGCUCAUGAAGCUCCUGUUCUAUACACCAGUGUCCAUACUUGCAUCGAUCAUUCUGUCAGCACUUCCAGGGCUGAUCAAUGUGCACGAAAUCUGCAUCCUGUGGAAAGUCGACAAGAUGGACUUCCUCACAUGCAUGGGUUCAUUUCUUGGUGUCCUAUUUGGAUCAGUGGAGAUUGGGCUUUCAGUUGCAGUAUGGUUACUCGUUCAAGCUCACCUUUACUGUUUUGAUUUUGAUUCUCAAAAGUUCAUUCCACCAAUGGAGUACAUUUUGCAGGUUGGUGUCUCCUUUGCAAAGGUUAUUGUACACUCAGUUCGGCCUCAGGUCCAGAUCCUCGGUAGGCUUCGGGGAACAAACAUAUUCUGCAACAUCAAGCAGUAUCCAAUGGUUUGUCAAACACCAGCUGUUCUGACCACACGCAUUGACACCUCAUUCCUCUGCUUCAUAAACGCCAAUUUCAUCAGAGAAAGGUAUAGAUAUGAAUUCUAACUUGUAAUUAAGCAAGUGGAAUCAACACAGGGCAUUGUUAGGUUGCAGUGCACUUCUAAAUAUUAACACGUGUUUCUUGUAUUCAGGAUUACAGGAUGGGUAACCGAAAAGCUUGAGGAAAUCCGCUCCGUCGUUCUUGACAUGUCAAGUAAAUGAAUUUCCACAAGUUGGUUGUUAAUCUGUUAGUACCACAAUCUAUCACAAGCUUAUAUUAUGUGACCCCUGGCGUGCAGAUGUGGUGAACAUUGACACCGCAGGUCUUGCAGCGCUGGAAGAACUGCACAAGGAGCUGGUGUCUCGUGGCAUACAGGUGCACGCUCUGAUACUCUCACACUUUGACUUUUGCAGAAAAAUGAUGCAAUACAACCACUCCAUCCUCCUUCACUUGCUGAGAACAACAAUGUGCAGAUGGCUAUAGCUAGCCCUGGAUGGCAGGUGAUCCACAAGAUGAAACUAGCACAGCUCAUCGACGGAACUGGAGAAGCCUGGAUCUUCCUCACGGUUGGCGAAGCUGUGGAAGCGUGCCUGGCCAAUAAGAAGGGCGGCGACCUGGAAUGCUGAAUUUGCUGCGGCGCUUUGCAAAAUAAACAUAUGGGUGUGGUAAUCAGUAUUUCUAUCUACUGUGCCCACGGCAGUGGAUUUCGCUAUCGUGCAAGCUGAUGCAGCUCUUGAAGUGUUCCACGGGUUGUGCGACACGCUUCGGUCAGAGGAGCUCUUGAGCACGCAGAAGCGUGGCGUCUGCAUAGAAUAAAGAAUACUGUGUGAACUGUGGUGUGAUGUGUGUAGGGGUACCCGGUCAGCAUGCGAGUGCUGCUUGUGAUUGUAUUUUGCAUGAUUGGAAUUUGGUGCCAAUAAAAGCUUGUGUUUGCUGCUAGCCUGCCUGAAGGCCUGUAGCCAAACAAAUUGUGGUGCUUGAGCGAACUGCCUAGCAUGGGUUGUGGCCCACAUGCCGGGGGGCGGCUUCACGCCCAUCGACGGCCCACGGAGUGAUUACACAGGCCCUGGCGUCCUCUCGCUCGGCAAUUUUCUGUAGAUGGGCCUGCCGACCGGACAAUGCGACGACAGAACCUAAAUGCUUGCUCAUAUAAAUUUGAUUUUUUUUGAUACCGUCAUCGCCUUGGGGAACAUGACAGUUGACUGGACGGGGAGCUAAACGCACAGUAACGUGCCGCCUGGUCCAACCAACCUCUGAACCCAUGGCAAAAUUAAGUUUUAAAAAAAAGGGGACCCGGUCAAAAUUCAGCAAACUCCCCUAAAGGGGUUACACCUUGAAGACCGUAAAAUUCCAGCAAUCCGACAGCACGUUCAAAAUUCAAGUCCGUCGUCCACGCGAGAAACUUGAAACGGUGAUUUCGGCACGUGCAAACGCUCCCCGCGCACUCGUACGUGCUGGUCCCGUCCCAUUUUCCCAGUGAAGAAAACGGCCGGGACACGCCCGUCCUACUGCUUCUAGUCUUGUGGACUGCUCCGCCACGACCCGCGAGUCAAUGCGAGCACCACCGAAGCUUGGCUUGCGUGGGGGCUUUCGCGUCACCUCUCGCACGUGGUGGUCGACGCAUUUCUGGUCAGGUCGGGCGCCGCCGCCCGUUCCAAUUGCGGUGAGGCAUGCGCGCGACUCGGGCGGGGCUCCGGUGUCCGGUCUCCUCGCCCGUUCCCUCUGCUUUAUUUCUUCCUCUGGUCCGGAGCGGGGCACGCGGCACCGCCGAUCGAGCUCGUCCCGAUCGAUGCGUACCUGCACGUCCGAUCCGGGGGGCGUGGGCACGGCCGCAUGCAAUGCACGGGAGGAGAGGAGAUCGGGAAAGGGAUGAGGACUUGCAGGAAAUUGGGAGGAAACCUCCCUUUCAUACAUACCACACCGUCGGCAACAACGUAACGAUCGACGAUGAGGAGGCAUCUAGUAUCUCGCAUGGAAACUUUCACGGUGGCUCGCUACGUUAGCCCACCGCAUAUCCAGCCAGCUCGGACACCAGCUAGCAGCUAGCAGUGGCGUCGCCGUCCGCUGGUACGAUCGGGCAAGCAGAUGGAGCCGAAUAAAGUUCCGUUUUCUUCCACUGACUUAUUUUUAGCACCCGUCACAUCGAAUGUUUAGAUACUAAUUAGGAGUAUUAAAUGUAGACUAUUAACAAAACCCAUUACAUAAGUCGAGACUAAACGGCGAGACGAAUCUAUUAAGCCUAAUUAGUCCAUGAUUUGACAAUGUGUUGUUACAGUAAACAUUUGCUAAUGAUGGAUUAAUUAGGCUUAAUUAGGCUUAAUAGAUUCGUCUCGCCGUUUAGCCUCCACUUAUGUAAUGAGUUUUGUAAAUAGUCUACGUUUAAUACUCCUAAUUAGUAUCUAAACAUUCGAUGUGACACGUGCUAAAAAUAAAUCACAUGAAGAAAACGCCCCCUAAUAACAGCGGAUCGACGCGUGCAGCAGAAGCCGCGAAGCCCUCUCGCCGAACGGGCACCUGGAAAAAAAGGGAUCUCUCGUUAUCCGCUUCUUCUUCUUUUUUACUUCUUGUUGCACAUGUACGCAGCAGCGGUCGCUGCGUAUACACAUCUCGAUCGUCUUCACUCGAGAGCUUAUCGCUGUUCUCUGUAGCACAGACUUUGGAAGAUCUCAGGAAUCUUGGACGAUGCAUGUGUUCCCUGUACCUAGCUAGCUGCCUGGUCUACCUUUUCCAACUUUAGUCUUGGUAACAAUUACCCGGGUUGCUGUCAUGGUAAUUGGUAAAAAUCGUAAAAGACUACUAAAAUGGGAAAUCUAACGGUUUUGUUUAACUUUUGUCCAAUUACAGAAGAGAUUCAACUGAUCGGCCUACUACCCGAAUUGCAUAUAAUUGCAUUGCGCAAACAGACAUAACCAUAUACGGAGCUGGCAGUCUGCUGCAGAUCCCACAAUGAGCUCCCACAAUCAUAUAGGGAACAGGCAUAAUCAUAUAGCCAACGAGGCCUGGUGCACAGUGGGACGCGCGCGGCAGUUACUGAAUCCAUCGCUGACAACCUCAGCGAGGAGCCAGCCACUCUCUUGCUCCCACGAACACUGGCAUCUUAUCUGGCCUGUGUAACCAUCUUAUCUUGUUCACGAGGACUACCCGUGGAAAAUUCUGACAACACAUGCAAUGCAUCUCCUUUGAUUCCGGCUGAGCACGACUACUGAACAUCUAUCUAUCGCGAGCUGGCCGGCCUGGUAGCAGCAAAAGCCGCUAACGGCAGGUCCCCGUGCAAGGAGGAAAAAACUACUACUAUAUUCCAUCAGAAAACACACCUGCACCUUCCUUACCACAGCAUCGCCGGCCGCCUAUAUUCGUAUCGUCAUUUGACCUCAUGGAUAGAUCGUUCGACAGCGCUAGCUACGCAGCACAGUCUGAAUCAUGCUUCGUCUUGGACCACAGCUCCACCGCCAUUUGCCACGCGUGUGCAGCUGCAGGCUUGCAGCUCAUUGCCAGGAAGCUCGUGUGUACGGAGCCCGAACAUUCAUACACAUUUCCAAGAACAUGCAUACGUAGCUAGCAAGCAAGAUGUACUGUAAAAGUCAGCAUUCAUUCCGAGGCUUAGUAUCGGUUGCAUUUUGAUCUGGUACUGAUGUGUACCGGGUCUAACGACUAGUCCUCGAGGAGCCCCCGUGUUACUAAUAGGUGACCUUUAGUACCGGGUGAAGUCUCCACCCGGUACUAAAGGGGUACCUCCCCUCACGCGUCAGUCCCUUCUCUCUCACUCCACGCUCACUCCCCUCCCCACACGUACUUAUCCGCUCGUCCCCCUCAUCCGGCCUCUCACCCGUGCCCCUCUCUCUCUUCUUCUCCUCACCGCCCCUCUCCUCCCUCCUCCACUCGCCCCUCACUUCUUACAUGUGGCGAGGAGUGGCGGCGGGGCAAGAAGCGAAGGAGGCAAGAAGGGAGGGCGCGGCGAGGCGGCGGAGCGUCGGCAAGGCGUGGCGGAGCUCCGGCAGGAUGGCGCGGCAGCGAAGCGUCGGUAGGCGUGGCAAAGCAAGGAGAGCGUGGAUCUUGGAGUAGCGGCCACCUCUCCCUCAAAUCCGGCGGCGGCGGCAACCGACGGUGAUGAUUGAGCAACGUAAGUAUGCCGCAUCCCUCCCCCCCUCUCUGGUGCGAGGCUCAGGAUGGCGGGGUGCGGCCGGGGCUCCGGGGCUCGGGUGGACGGUGGCGGGGUGCGGCUGAGGCUCCGAUCGACGGAUUUCUUUUUUUUAUUUUUUAAUACCCUUUUAGUACCGAUUAUUUGACCAGGUACUAAAGGUUCCCCUUUAGUUGGCCUUUAGUACCGAAGUAGCAAUAUCAGUUUGUACAACUAGUACCAAAGGCCAGCGGUGGCAUGUGUCUAUCGAAAAUCUAGAUCCAUGUGGCCACAUCAGACUGCACUUCGUCUGGUUCUUUCCUCCUUUCUUUCACCUCGAGAAUCUGGUUUUCAGAAAGGAAAAAAAAGAAUUUGCUCAUUUUCAAGCCUAAUGUAUAGAUUUUAGCUGUGUGCGGUUGCAGUGGUCGGAUUUUUUUUUCUAUUUUCUAAAAAUUAGCCUAAAAAGCUAUAGAUUAUACUGCAUACAAGCAAAUUUAGUAAUAUUGGAUUCGUAUUUGAAUGUACCUUCAAAUUACAUCGGUUUCAUGGUCUUGAACAAUAUAAAUACAUGAGAUAUUGACCGUCGAACUUUACUCUUAAGAGGUCAAACAAACACUACCUUACAUUUUGAAAGGAGGGAGUAGAAAUGUAAUGCUCUUGUUUACCACAGAAAAAAGGACAAAACAUGUAUUUUAAAGAAAAUUAAUGGACGCAUUGUAUAUGACAUCUAUCAGUAACGACUAUCUUAUCCUUCUUUUAAAACAGUGCUAAUGAACAUUUCAUUUCUAGGAAAUGGUGAUUACAAAUGUAAGCAUGAAAGUGAUCGCCGGUGCAAAUUAGUCAACCAUUACCUAGCACAACCAACUUCAGAAAACAAGUGUUGACUCCUGCGCAUUUGCCGCGUUUCGGUAUAUAUCUUAACUCCCACAUGCUGUUAGCACAAUGGCACCCAUUUCUCUUACGCGUUCCUGAAAUCUAACAAUUUGAUUAUAAACUAAGCAGCGUCGUCCUGAAUUUUCUUCUCAUUAAGCUGGAGGAGCGAACGAAAUGCUCACGCAUAGACAGACGGUCAAGGACAUAUUUGAUGCUGACAAAAUUGAUGGACGACCUGUGGAGAGUUCCCAGCAAGAAAAGCUCUGCAUGGAGCAGAAAACGUGCACACAGUGAAAACGAAGUAACGACGGGAUCACAUCACUGCCGUGACUCUGCCGUGACUCUAAAAGUACUGGACGUUCAAUCCAACGAGGGAACAACGCUGUUGUUAACCAAGGUAAAAGGUUCAUUGCAUUUUCUUUCCUUUCAACUGCCGUGACACAUGCACAAGUCCCUUGUCUUUUCUUUUGUAUGUUCAUUGCAUCUGAAACGUCAAAACCUGGCUGUGCGUUUCUGCUAGAGUAUAUGUGAUAUUUUUCUUUUGGUGGAGUUGAAUGAUUUGAUACGUAUAUGAAUUAAAAUUUGUGUAUGUGAUAUUGUAUAGAAAAACAAUAUGUGACAUCUGCCGAUGCUAAUCAAACAAUACUGCAAUUAUUCAAGUUCUAAUUAAUAAUGUGUAUGCAUAUGGAGAGUACUUGAUGUGUGUAUGAAUGCGUGAGCUGACCAACCACUAUUUGUUGGUUGACCACGAAUGCAUGUCGAGUGAGCUUCAUGUGCAGACUAUCACUAACCAGCUGUACGUGAUUAGGGAGAUGCUAAUCUUCAGUUGCUGACUUUAACCUCGCCACUUUGCCGGCCGCUCACAUCAUUCAUCGGCCAACCUGCCUCCCAAGGUCCUCGAAGCUCGGCAUCCAUGGAUGACCCGUCAAAACCCAAAACCCUAAAUCGCAGCAGCAGUGCAGCACGGACAUAUAUAAUCUAAGAGGUGUCGUUUAGGACAAGCAAGCUAGUUUAAAAAAUAAAAUAUUUAUAUAUAUAUAUAUAUAUAACUAAGAUCAGAGGUAGUAAUUAUUAUCUUUAUUAAUACUUUGGUUGUGGUUAGUGAUUUUUCAUUUUCUUGAAAAUAUCCGUUUAUCUGCAAAGUGCAAUGCUACGUACAUGAUGCUCUCACAUAUCAUUCCCUUAUGCCCCUUAUUUGAUGUAUAUAAGAGCAUCCAAGUUCAGAGGCCAGAUUAUACUACUUCUGCUUCCACAAACUGAGAAAAGAUUUACUGAAAAUUAAUGACAAAAAUCACUCUUACCUACUACCUUCGUAGCAUUGACCCUGACAGGAGGAACUGAAAUUUGUGACUUGACUUAAUUACCUAGCUAUUCAGAAGGUCUACCUGAAAACAAUAAGGAGAUUUGGAGUCAACUCAGUUGGCUUAUUUGCACCUUGUAGAUAUUCUUGUUUUCAAGGUUAGGUCAGGACCUAGCAACAGACAUAGAUUAGCAAUUGUCAUUCCAUUGAAUUUCUAGCUAGUGUACAAUGAGGGCAAAAUUGACCUUGCCCCUCUCGAAAAAAAGAAGAAGAAUAGACAUGGAACUAGUAGAUGUCGAGCAGUACGGAGUUGAUGAUAGACACAUGCAUAUAUAUGUUUUACCCUAGCAGGUGCGUCGACGCACUCAGCAAUUAUACAUAUUUUUAUACAAUGGUCAAUAAGUAGCUUUCAUUUUAGAGAAAAAGGAAAAGAGCACAGGUUCGCUUAAUGUCUUCUAGGAGUCCAGAGGUUGUUCAACGAACCUCGUUCUGUACGGUUACACAAGUGAUCGGAGGACUUGGUAAUGGUCAGGUCUGAGGUCGGCAAAGAAAAUUAUUCCCGGAACUGCACGAACAUUCAAAAUCAAUCAAGCACAUAAUCAGGCCAUGAGGGAAUGCCAGUGAAAAUCCCAGUUAGAACAGUUUCAGGCAGUUGUCUGGAAAGUUGCACAUGUGCACGUCCCUUCAGUGCAGCGCCGCAGAGUUUUGUUAGUUGGGCAAUGUAGCCAUGCAGGGUAUGCAGACACAGAAGGCACAAAACCAUCUCUACAGUCAGUCUGAGUCCUUCUAAUCACACAGUAGUACAUGGUCACUACCGGAAAACUGAACAUUUAUCCUAACCCUUAGUACCGGUCCCUAGGAGUCCCCCGUGACGCCCUUUAGUACCGGUUGGAGGCUCCAACCGGUACUAAAGGUUGCACAUUAGUACCGGGUGGAGGCUCCACCCGGUACUAAUAUGCAACCUUUAAUACCGAGUGCAGCCUCCAACCGUUAUUAACUUCCCUCCUAUAAACCCCACAUCUUCUUCCUCCUACCCGAGCCAUUCACCACAGUUCGGGCUUCAUCCUAUCCAUGGCGCCAUAGGGGAGGUGCUGCCGGAUUGGACACCAUUUCAUGGGGAUUUCACUCAUUCAAGUGUUCUAAAGGUUAGAAACUUCAUCCUCCCUUGAUACGUGAUUAGUAUACUAAGUUUUAUGCUUUAGAGCUAGAGUAAUUUAUGAUUUUUAGAAUAAGAUACAAUGGAUAAAAAAUUCAUUUAUAUGCAUGUGUUAUUUAGAGCUCUUAUUUGUGUUUUUUAGAAUAAGCUACAAUUUUUUGUAUGCUAUAUUUCGUAUUAGUCAAAGAAAUUGAUAUGAGCUUAGAGAAAUAAUUGAGCUUAGUCCUUUACAAAUAUGAGCUAAAUAAAUUAUCGGAAAAAAUAUAAUUUGUUCAUAUUUUAGUCAUUUGCAAAUAUGAGCGAAAUAAAGUGUGGUACAUAGAGAUAAUAAGAUGAAAUAGAGAUACGUAAUUAUUCAUUUUUAGAAUAAGCUACAAUGGAGAAACUUUUCAUUUAUAUGUUAUGUUUGAGCUAAAUAAAUUAUGGGGAAAAAAUAUAAUUUGUUCAUAGUUUAGUCAUUUGCAAAUAUAGGCUAAUAAAUAAAUUGUGGUUCAUAGAGAUGGCUAUUGCUGCUGGAGGUAGUGGCUAUGGUAGGGGCGAUCGUCGUUCCUCUCGCGGUAAAGGGGUUGGCCCUCAUGAUAAGCCAAAGAAAAUGAGCACGUGAGAGAGAACAAUGCUUCGUUAUUUGCAAAGAUGUCAUGAAGAUGCUGUUGCGGCGGGUCAGGAAUCUUUUUUUGGUGGCUAAUGCUCGAAGUUCGGAUUGGAGAUCAACAUUAUUUCCGUGGGGAAGACAUUAUAAAUGUGCUGCUAGAGGAACUCUAUUUCCUUUACAAUCAAGAUAUACUUGACAAGUCACUCAUCAGUUUUUGGGUUCUGUAAGUCUUUAAUUUGCUCUGUGCGAUGUAUUAACUUCUAUUCGAUUUUGUAUCAUGCAGGAUGGAGAUUCAAACUUGCCGGAGAAAAGGAUACUAUGACAUCGGCUUCAUGGACCCGGAUAUUAUAAACGAGACAACUCUAAGAGAUAUACCAAAUCGGAUCUUGAAGAACAUAUAUAAGUUCCUAGACAACCAACAUUACAAGAAGUACAUACUUCUACCAUACAACUUCAAGUGAGCGUGUUUUCCAUCUCUUUUCUUUUUUGAACUAGCACUUAAACAUAAGACUAACUAGCUUUGGCUAUGCAUAUAUGUACAGCUUCCACUGGAUCCUCGCUUCCGUUGACAUCACGCAGGUGAAUUCAAGGAGGAACUUGAUUUCAAGCCUGAAUUCCAAGUCUGUGUUGAAUUUCCACAUCUCGUAACACUUCCUUGAAUACAACAAAUAUUUCAUAACUUCUUUUGCCAUAUACAUAGUGUUUGAGAUAGAAUCUGGGGAAUAAUUUAUGCGGAUACUACGUAUGUGAGUUCAUCCAUGACUUUGUAGGUCCCAAGCGUAUAGUCGACCACGAAUUCAGAGUACAUAUACAAAUUUCUUAACAAUAAAUUAGUUCUAACUGUGCAAACCCAUUGAUCUACUAUAUAAUAAUAUUUGCUAAUGAUAUAGGUGAGAGACAUGAAGGAAGCACUCCUCGAGAUGGAAAAAAUCAGGUUAAUUCAAGAACACCUGGAUGGAUUUCUUCUGGACGAGGUAGUAAAUCCAGCGGGGGAGUUCCAUAAUGAUGGAUCAAAUCUGCAUCACCGUCAGGACUUGGGUUCAGAAUAGUUAAUCCAAAAUGUUGAAAUUGGAAAGUUGAUACAAUGUAAUAUUAUUCAUAUAUGUAUAUGCACAAUAUGUCUAUAUAUAUAAUUAUCUCAAAUGCAAUAUUAUAGAUAAAUACAACUUUAUAUAUAUUAGAGUACGAGAACUAGUAUACGAAACAAAUAUGAAAUACUAAUAUAGAAUAUAGAAUAAAGAAAUAAAAAAAUGAGAAAAAAUAGAAAAAAAGACCUUUAGUACCGGUUGUUUAUACAAACCGGUACUAAAUUGGCCUACUUUAGCACCGAUUAUUUGAUCUGUUACUAAAGGCCUCCCUUUAAUACCGAACUAGCAAUAUCGGUUGCACAACCGGUACUAAAUGGGGGUUAGAAACCGGUACUGAAGGUGCUUUCCCCGGCUGUGGGUCCUUCACAUGUGCGUAACUUUGUAGGGGUGACUACUUUUAUAGUUGCGGUCUGAUGCAUUCCCGAAAGAGAAUGUGCUGAAAAUAUAUCAUCCAUUGUCUAAAAAAAGUAGUACAUGGUCCAAGUUAUCUAAAAAAAAGUAGUACAUGGUCCAAGGAACUCUUCACCUGACCUGGCCGUGUUCUGGUUCUGGAACUUUUACCUCCUGGGUCGCUUCCGUCGACAUCACGCAGGUGAAUUCAAGGAGGAACUUGAUUUCAAGCCUGAAUUCCAAGUCUGUGUUGAAUUUCCACAUCUCGUAACACUUCCUUGAAUACAACAAAUAUUUCAUAACUUCUUUUGCCAUAUACAUAGUGUUUGAGAUAGAAUCUGGGGAAUAAUUUAUGCGGAUACUACGUAUGUGAGUUCAUCCAUGACUUUGUAGGUCCCAAGCGUAUAGUCGACCACGAAUUCAGAGUACAUAUACAAAUUUCUUAACAAUAAAUUAGUUCUAACUGUGCAAACCCAUUGAUCUACUAUAUAAUAAUAUUUGCUAAUGAUAUAGGUGAGAGACAUGAAGGAAGCACUCCUCGAGAUGGAAAAAAUCAGGUUAAUUCAAGAACACCUGGAUGGAUUUCUUCUGGACGAGGUAGUAAAUCCAGCGGGGGAGUUCCAUAAUGAUGGAUCAAAUCUGCAUCACCGUCAGGACUUGGGUUCAGAAUAGUUAAUCCAAAAUGUUGAAAUUGGAAAGUUGAUACAAUGUAAUAUUAUUCAUAUAUGUAUAUGCACAAUAUGUCUAUAUAUAUAAUUAUCUCAAAUGCAAUAUUAUAGAUAAAUACAACUUUAUAUAUAUUAGAGUACGAGAACUAGUAUACGAAACAAAUACGAAAUACUAAUAUAGAAUAUAGAAUAAAGAAAUAAAAAAUGAGAAAAAAUAGAAAAAAAGACCUUUAGUACCGGUUGUUUAUACAAACCGGUACUAAAUUGGCCUACUUUAGCACCGAUUAUUUGAUCUGUUACUAAGGGCCUCCCUUUAAUACCGAACUAGCAAUAUCGGUUGCACAACCGGUACUAAAUGGGGGUUAGAAACCGGUACUGAAGGUGCUUUCCCCGGCUGUGGGUCCUUCACAUGUGCGUAACUUUGUAGGGGUGACUACUUUUAUAGUUGCGGUCUGAUGCAUUCCCGAAAGAGAAUGUGCUGAAAAUAUAUCAUCCAUUGUCUAAAAAAAGUAGUACAUGGUCCAAGUUAUCUAAAAAAAAGUAGUACAUGGUCCAAGGAACUCUUCACCUGACCUGGCCGUGUUCUGGUUCUGGAACUUUUACCUCCUGGGGGUGUUUAGAUACGAGGUGUUAAACUUUAGCAGGGUCACAUUGGAUGUUCGGAUGCCAAUUAGAAGGACUAAAUAUGAGCUAAUUAUAAAACUAAUUGCACAGAUGGAGUCUAAUUCGCGAGAUGAAUCUAUUAAGGCUAAUUAAUCCAUCAUUAGCAAAUGGUUACUGUAGCACCAUAUUAUCAAAUCAUGGACUAAUUAGGCUUAAUAGAUUCGUCUCGCAAAUUAGACUCCAUCUGUACAAUUAAUUUUAUAAUUAGACUAUAUUUAAUACUCCUAAUUAGUAUACAAACAUCCGAUGUGACAGGUACUAAAGUUUAACGCGGUGUUCCAAACACCGCCUAAAUUAGAAGAUCUCAUCCUGUGAAUUCUCAUCAAGUUCGCGGUCUGGUGACAAUGGAACGCAAGCAUUGAAUGCCGGUGGGCUGUCUGUACAGGUGGCAUGCCGGUGAUCAGUGCCGGUGUGGACAUAGCUUGCCAAGGGGGACAAAACUAUGCAUAGCCAAGGACCGCCUAAAAACUCCUAGAGAAUCUGUCUGAAAGAAUUGAAACUCAUUUCAGAUUGCUUCCAACCAUGGAAAACAUUUUCAAGGUGGACUAUCCGGGCAGCAGUCUACGGAAAGGAGCAGGCUACUUUUCAACGCGAGCCUUUUCGACCCAGCUAGCCGAUAGCCAGGCUCUCUGAACUCUAUAAAUCCAGCAUUGCUCGCAUUCUGCUCUUGCCACCUUUGGUUCUGCUCCGACACUGCAAACACGUCCAUCAGGAGCUCAUCCUUUUGCCUCCAAGCGCUAUCAGCCUAGUGACAUCACAUUCUAGCUCCCAAGCUUUCUGUCUAGUAUAGGCAGCCAAGCUUCAUCCAUGCCGGCAAAUAUGAUCUCCACCAAGUACGGCACACAGCAGUUCAUUUAUUUAUUUUCAGCUUAUUUUUAGUGUGUGGAUGAUACGUGCAUUCAUAAUUAGGGAUUUCAAAUCAUUUAAUUGUCUCUUCCGUUUGCUUCAUCCUCCAUGCAGGUUCCUUGAGAAGGCUGUCCUUCCACUGGAUGUUAUUGCUCCUCAUGUGAAGACUGAAGGUACUGCAUGCUUACACCAAGACCAUGGCAUGGCUAGCUGUUUCUGUGUAAUUUCCUCUUGCAUUCUUGAUAUCUCAUCAUGUUUAACAUCUUCCUCCAUGUUACUACUACUCCAAUUCAGCUGUGCGGACCAGCGUUCUUCGCAAUCCAAACAUGGAGAAGCUUCAGAAGGGCUACUUGUUCCCGGAGGUACCAACUUGACAAGCGUAGUAAUUUGCCGUGUUGUUUCGCUAAAACUAACAUGUUAAGUUGAUCCUCCCUCAUCAGAUUAGCAUGAAGCGUGAAGCUCACCUGAAGAAGUACCCUGACGCUAAGGUCAUAAGCUUGGGUAUCGGUGACACAACUGAACCCAUUCCAAGCGUCAUAACGUCAGCUAUGGCUGAGGUAUUCUUUGUUCUUUAUUUGAAGGUUGAACUGUUCUUUUCUCCUUUUUUUUCUCUGAACAUGCAGGCAUGCGAAAUUUUUUUAAACAAUAUAAAGCUACAUGAGGUGUUUUAAUAAAAAAAAUAUAUUGUCAGUCUAAUUAUAUUUUUUGGCUGCAUAAAUAGCCAAUUAUUUUAGUGACACUUCCGGCGGUUUUCAUCAGAUAUAUAAACUAGAGCAAUGGUUAGCAACUAGACGAUAUCCCUGCCUUGCGGGAAAAUGCGUGUGGCUGAUCAAUUAUAUGCUCAUGCAGCCAGCAAAACAAAAUGUUAAAUGGAUAAAUAAGAUCAUAUCAUAACGUCAAAUUGAGAUCUAAUCUCAAAGACGGAUCCUAAAAAUUAUUGAGCAAGAGACUAGCAGGCGGUCUAGUCGUGAUGAUCCGUUUGCAACUUUGGACAGACGCUACAACGACCAAACUGAUCAAACUGCCUGGAUAUAAAUAACGGAUAUGUUGAGUCAGACUGAACUUGCUAGGCUUGCCAAGAAAUAAUGUUUGCAGCAGAAAACUAAUUUGGGCGUGAGGAGAUAUAUAGGGCCGUUAAUGCAGUCUUACCUGACAUUAUCCUCUUAUAGACACAAGAAGUGAACUACUCCUACUUGUUUGGUCCACAUACUUAUCUUUCUAAACUUGCUCUCUAGCUAGUUUCUUACCCAAAAUAGUCGAAAUGAUCGUUGUCCUAGAUUGUGUCUGUCAUCAGCAUUGAAUUAUUUCCUACUUCCUACGUUUCAAAUUGUAGAUCGUUUUGACUUUUCUAGGUUCAUAGAUAUUAUUAUACAUCUAGAUAUAGUGUCUAGAUGUAUAAUAAUACCUAUGAACUAAAAAAGCUAAAACAACCUACAAUUUGGAACAGAGUACAUCCCAAAAUAUAAGUAUUUCAGAUUUUAAAAGUCAAACCAUCUUCAGUUUUACUGGCUUAUAGGUAAAAGAAUAACAACAUUUACAGUAGCAAAUUAGUAUUAUUGGAUAUAUUAUAAUUAUAAUAUAUAUUUUCGUAGUCUACUUCCUUGAUAUGGUAGCUGUUGAUACUUUUUUAUAUAAAGUUGGUAAAACUUACUGUAAUAUAGUUUAACUUAUGACAAAACUAGAAAUGCUUUUACGUUUGUAGAACAUAAGGAGUAUUAUAUUUGGUUGUGCUGUUCACCAUGCAUGAGUGCUUUGCACAAUGUUAAAUCAAUACUGCAACAUGUUAACGUCAUGCUCGCGUGUUACCAGAUUCUCACACGUUUCGUUUACAUAAGAGAACUUUCGCCUAAACGUAGAAGAAGAUUAUGUUGUACUAGUAUUCAGUAAGUGCCAAGAUCCUUCUGCUCCACCAGUUGGAAAAUUAGCUGAACUUACUGUUGUGUGUCAUUUGUUUUACAUGCUGGACUUUUUCUACCGAGAAAACUCGAAAGGUCCUUCCUUUGUCAAGGUUUUCCCCUUGUUCGAGACCCCGAGGGCCUGGUGUACGUCACUGCAGCCACGUCAUGGCCUCCCUGUUCUCGCUGUUUUCCACACAUACUGCCACAGCAUCUGUAAACUGACGUACUCUCCUGGUCCUGGCCAAACCUAUAAUAUGGGUUAAAUUACACCGACCCGAGAGAGCAAUUUCCAGUUUCCAAAUCGUUUGGUCAAUGGAUGUCUUCGUCGAUGUCUCAAAUUAUAAGUUAUUUUGGCUCUUUUAGAUUUAUAUAGUUUGCUAUGCACUUAGAUAUACGUACCUUAUCUAGAUAUAUCUAUACAUCUAAAAAAAAUUAAAACGACUUGUAAUUUGGAACGGAGGAAGUACCGGUAUGCCACAUUUUGACAGCAGGGGACAGAAAGGAGCAUGGGAUUCGAUGACUGCAACCCUUGAACAAAUUUUAGGCUUGCUUGCUUGACUUUGGUGCGGGUUCAUGCACGUCUGAGAAGUGAAACCAUUGAACAAAUUAUUUCAUCGGCUUGAUUAAAUAGAUUACCAGUUUGUGUACUUGGAAUUAAAAAAAAUGCUGUCCUGUUUUUGCAGUAUGCACUUGCGUUAUCCACUCCAGAAGGAUACCAGGGUUAUGGACCGGAGCAGGGUCAGAUGGUAAUGCAGAGAACCCUCAGCACUGAACUCUGAAGUUCAGUUAAUCCUACAGUUACGUACAGCAAGCCCAUGUGGCAGUUCACUGAACCAAGAUCUGCUUUGCUUUGUGAAAAUGUGCAGAAUCUGCGCAAGGUCAUUGCUGAGAAAGUGUACCCAGACAUGGGGAUAAAAGAGUCUGAUGUGUUCAUCUCGGACGGAGCGCAGUCUGACAUCGCACGCCUCCAGGUACACUCAGCGACUUGGUUUACUGAGCUGUUUUUGCCAUCUUGGCUACUGCUAAAGAGAUCUCACCUUCUUCUUCCCUGUGCAUUCACGGCACGCAGACGCUGUUCGGGCCCAACGUGAGCAUCGCCGUCCAAGAUCCCACCUUCCCGGUACGACAACCCAUUUCACAGGCAGGGCCGCCAGAUCGUCUCUGCAGCAGCUGAUCGAUACGAUUCACAUGCUCGACCGUGAUGUCCGUGUGCAGGGCUACGUGGACAACGGCGUGAUCGUGGGGCAGACCGGCGCGGCGGACGAGGCCGGCAAGUACGCCGGCAUCGCCUACAUGCGUUGCGCGCCGGAGAACGACUUCUUCCCUGACCUCUCCCGCGUGCCGCGCACCGACGUCAUCUUCUUCUGCUCGCCCAACAACCCGACGGGCCACGUCGCUUCCCCGGCGCAGCUGCGGGAGCUCGUCGACUUCGCGCGGCGGAACGGCUCCAUCAUCGUGUUCGACGCGGCGUACGCGUGGUACGUGUCGGAGGGCAAGCCCCGGUCCAUCUACGAGGUGCCCGGCGCCCGGGAGGUGGCCAUCGAGAUCUCCUCCUUCUCCAAGUUCGCCGGGUUCACGGGCGUCCGCCUCGGCUGGGCGGUGGUGCCCGCCGAGCUCCGCUACGCCGACGGAUCCCCCGUCGCGCGCGACUUCGACCGCAUCGUGUGCACCUGCUUCAACGGCGCGUCCAGCGUCGCCCAGGCCGGCGGGGUCGCCUGCCUCUCCACGGAGGAAGGCCGGGGCGCGGUGCGCCGCGUCGUGGGCGUGUACAAGGAGAACGCGCGGGUGCUGGUGGACACGUUCGCGUCGCUCGGCAAGGAGGUGUACGGCGGCGCCGACUCGCCCUACGUCUGGGUGCGCUUCCCGGGGCGCCGCUCGUGGGACGUGUUCACGGAGAUCCUCGAGAAGACGCACGUCAUCACCGUGCCGGGCAGCGGCUUCGGCCCCGGCGGCGAGGGGUUCGUCAGGGUCAGCGCCUUCAACAGCAGGGACAGGGUGUUGGAGGCCGCCGCCAGGCUCAGGAAAUUCCUCGCCUGAGCGCCGCGCCGACCUACACCACCGCAUUUAUUUUAUAUAUAUGUAUAUGUAGUACGUGAUCAAUAACAUUGUUACGCGCUGAUGAUGCGCUGACAACUAUACUACUUAGAAUGUGUACUCGUCAAUCCACAAAAAUGCACACCGCACAUGUAUCUUCAUUGCUUUAUUCGAAUAAUAAUUUCAGUUUUCACACAUGGACCCGUCCAUUGCCAAAAGAACUCACGAUGUAGAGCUUCAAAAGCUCUGGAAAGGGGGUACGGGGCACAAAAAAUUCGCACGCUAUAAUUCUCAAGUUACGAGGGCCCUCUUCUAUUUCCAUAGCUUGUGCUACACAGGUAUGCACCACAGCUGUACAAGGAUUCAUUUUCAACCAUGAAUGAAUCCAUGAUUCAGACGAAAAGACAACUGAAGUUUAUUCAGAUCAGAUACUGAAAGAUGCUACCGUGGGUUGUUUCACAGCAAGCGCUUAUACCACUUCUGCUCAAUUAUUUUGUAACUGUUAUGAAGACCCCACCGUUUAAACUCUUCCUUUUUAGUCACUUUUACUUUCUUCCUUCGCUUUCCUUGUCUUGGUUGAGGUUCAAGUGGUUCAAAUUCUCCUCAAGAGGUGGCAAAUCGUCAUCAGAAUCACCCUCAGAUCCUUCCUCACUUUCCUUGUCUUGGUUGAGGUUCAAGUGGUUCAAAUUCUCCUCAAGAGGCGGCAAAUCGUCGUCCGAAUCACCCUCAGAUCCUUCCUCGCUUUCCUCAUCUUGGUUGUGGUUCAAGUGGUUCAAAUUCUCCACCAGAGGCGGCAAAUCAUCAUCAGAAUCACCCUCAGAUCCUUCCUCUGUGCUUCGACGUGAUUUUUCUGCUUGUCACACAAAAUAUUUAAGCAAAAUUAAUGACCACAGAAUCAAUUUAGUGAUCUAAAGAUGGAUAGAUUGUGGAAAACCCGGUGUCUCUGAGAUUAUUACCAUUUACAGGUGGCUUUGGAACACUCGAGUUACUUGAUAACCAGGAAUUCUGCACAUUGAUUAUCUCAGAGCCACUUUCACAUUGGGAGUAUGCUUUCAGGAGGUCUCUGCACAUAGUUACAAAAGAAGGGUGUGACAACCAGACCUAAAUGCAUCAUGUAGAAAGGGGCACACCUAGUAUGUAGAAUUCAGGCUUCAUAAACUGCUGAAGGUUUGACAUGAAAAAAUAACGUUGGAUGGUUGCAAUGACUCAUAUUAUUUUAACCAUAACUGAAUGACCUCUAUCCUUAACAUGACUCUGCAACUGCCUUCUGAAAUUUGCUGGAUAAUGGUGAAAAAGCGGAACAAUGAUAUAUGCUAUACGCUGCCUCUUAAAAAUAUCUGAAAUACGGUACCAAUGUGCUAUUAGUGUAUACAGGACAGCAUGGAUUGUCUUUGGCAACAUCCUUGGUUAGGUAACCAUUCAGCUUAUGGAGGCAGAAAAUAACUUCAUCUAUCCAGCUUUUGCUUACAGAAUACAGAUUGUAGUUUGCACAAGAUGGUAUAGUGUUCAAACAUCCAUUACUGUAUGUAUCAUAAACACGGGAAUCAAUGUAUGAUCAUUAAGUACAGAACCACUACAACCUGCAUAUGAUACUUUAAAUAUUCCACUGGACUAACCUGUUUAGCGACAAGAAUGCGUGGCCCCACUUGAAUUUCCCUAGCAGUAAAUGUGCUGUAUCUUCCUCCCCACUGCAAAUACAUAAAUAGCAUGAGCUGACACCUGAUAACAACUAACUUCUACAUCCAACAACAAGUUCGCCAGCAACUUCUGUUAGGUAAGCUUUCAAAAAAUUACCAUAUUAUGAGGGCUGCUGAUAAAGCUUCCACACAAGACAGUUCACAUGGGCGGCCAUAGUUCACAGGGUUUGCUGCUACCAACCAUGGCACUGCAAACGUCAAAAUAAACCAGUUCCAUUGAACAGAUACAAUUCUGAUUUGUAUAAUAUAUAAAGCCACAUUCUCAGACAACUUAGUUGCAUAGGCUCUCUCCCAUUUGUAGGUGGGACAAUAUUUGGAUAAAGAAAAACAAGAAAAUCAGCUUUGCAAAGAACAACGAGCCAAAGUCACAACCCAAAAUGGAAUUGUACAGGAUCAAACUUCGAACAACAGUAAAUUUGACAAAAUGAUCAAAUUUAGAAAUGAUAACUGCUUUCUACAUUAUACAUAAUCAUUUAGUAGAUUGUAUUCAUGUGCAUUACUAGGAUCCAUGCAGAACAGAUAGGACAGAAUAAUCCCAAGGACCACAUGCAUAACUCGUAAUGAUGAUUAAUGAACAUCAAAGAUGCACUGUCUUAUUGAAGUUAUUUAGAUAUAAUUAUCUUACAGAGACGAGGAGCACCACAGCGGAGUUUCACAAAAGGGACAUCACUUAAGCGUGCCCAGGAACAAUCAACCACAGCCAAUCCUUUUCUUUGCACAAUAGAAUGAUCAGCCUUAGAUACACAUUGUGUCCCAACAGGGCUGAAACAGAACGGAAUGAAAACAAGUAAGCAGCAGAACUAAUAGUGUGUCUCAAAGACCAAUUUUACUGGAGCAAUCUUUAGUUUGUUUUUAAAAUUUACAGCAUAGAAAAUGUUUAAACGCAUACAUUGUAAAAAUACCUGAGAACAACACCACCAAAACCAUUGGUCACUCGCAACUCCUGGAAGACAAAUAACAAUCUUCUUAAGACCAGCUAAUUUUUUUGUAGCUGAGUGCUAGACUGCUAGUGUUGACAAAAUGUGUGUUUACAAGAACAAACUGAACACUAGUUUGAGCAGAGCCAGCAUGAAUACUAGUUGGAGCAAUCUUUAGUUUUUUUAAAAAAAUUACACCAUUAUAUCAAGGCAAAAUUUGCUGUAUGACAUGCAAAGUGAUGUCGAUUUGCUGAUGGACACCGAAAAAAGUAUAAUUGGCUGGUGGACACUCUAGUUUUGUGAUAAUUUGCUGGAAGACACCGCAUUGAUUAAAAUAAUAUUUUUAGACUGAAUAGGAGAGAGAAAUAGAGGGAAUGUUCAUUUUUACCCCUGGUCCCACUGGUCAGACCUUUCUUCUUCCUCUCCCUCCACUUUCUCCAAGGCCCAUUGGCCGUUGCUGUGCUAUCCGCCAGCCUGAGCAACUCCCCAUAUCCCAUCCAUCUUUCGUCCACAGCACCUCCACCUACGCCGCCCCACAGUCCCAGCUCCACCCCACUCAAAGAAGCUCCGGUGGCCACAUGCGCCUGCUCUUCCCUGCAGCCAUCUUGCCCCAAGCGGUGUGCGCCGCCUCUGGCCCGAGCUUCGCCCGGAGGAGCUCCGAUGGCAGAUAGCAACGCCGCGGGCGCAGACGCAGGGGUACCGUGGGGCCUGCAGGAGGAACGGGAGGAGGAAGAGGAAAGAAGUGAAGGGAAGACUCCAUACAAGAUUAGGAGCUUUAGAUUCAUGAGUGGAUGAGCUUAAUCCAACUUGGGACAACCUCAAUUUCUACUUGUCUAGCUCGAUUUAGUGCUCCGCUCUUGCUGACCUCAUGCCUGAUGCAAACCACCGCGUGUCGUCGAGCCUCUAGCCAUGGUCGGCAGUGGCUUUGGACGGCAGGGCUCGGGCUUGGCGAAGGGAUGGGUUUGUAGAGCUCGGCGCAGCGCGGCUUGCCACAAGUCCAGGGGCCACAGCGAUCGGUCGAGUCUAGGUGCAAGAAAUCGCAGAAGGGAGGAGGAAGAAGGGGCUGACCAGUGGAGCCAGGGGGCAAAAAUGACCAUUCACACUAUAUCUCUAUCAUGUUCAGCCCAAAAAUAUUAUUUUAAUUAAUGCGGUGUCUUCCGCAAAUUAUCACAAAACUAGAGUGUCCACCAGCCAAUUGUACUUUUUUCGGUGUCCAUCAGCAAAUCGACAUCACUUUGCAUGCCCACAGCAAAUUUUGCCUUAUACCAAUGGGUAUCCUAAUUUGUAUAUUUUCAUGUAUUUCGUCAGUUUUAGCAUGUAUAUUGGUUCAGAGUGGAUGAGAAGGGUUUGGUCGUUUGAAUAUUGGUGAAUCAAGUAGUGUGCUACCUUUAGAAGCCCAAACCUUGAAAGCUUACGACCAGUACACCUUUUAACAUCGCAUUGCCCAAAGUCCUAUACAACAACAAAUGCAGAGCAUAAUCACAAGUGUCAAAUGAGCACCAAAUGAUUGUAUACGAAAUAGUGCACCUACCCACAUUGCGAGCUGAAUUCUUGAACCUUUGAAUUCCUCUUCAGUGUCUUCUGGAUAAAUAAAUGAUAUUCUCAGCAGUGAGAUUAAGAUUUUGACUUCUGACACAUGAUGUAAAUUUGCAAAGUGAUUUGGUGAAUCCUUAAACUGGAUGUGAUGGUUUAUAAAAGAAUGAUAUGAUGGAGCAUAUGAAAUAAUUAACUCUGGUCAUGUUUACUGUUAUGUUUAAGGAGGCGCACAAGGAAAAAUUGAAAUAAUUGACAGCUGAGACAAUUUCUUUUCAUGUAAAGAACUAAAGAUAUCUCAACAUGAUACAUUAAUUUAUCAGUUUUCGACAUGUUCAAACCACAGAAUAUCCAAAAAUACAAGAAAAACACGUACCUUCCUGCCUUGGAAGUGACGUCCCAGGACCAUCAUCCCUGAAAUUGAAGAUUAAAAGUCUGGCUUUACUCCAUUUGUAAAAAGAAGAUAUCAAUAUUAUAAUCCAAUAGCACAAAUUAAACUGAAGUGAACAAUAUCUAUGCAGCAAGAAGAGCAAACGCACCCCACCUAACUUAACAAAACGAUACCACAACGGAAAAAAAUUUACAUUUAAUCAAAAACGGGCUAAGAAUUAUAAUCGAGACCUUAAGUUGAACUGAUUCGUCUCACUAAUACUAACUACAGACCGUUAAAAUAUAGUGCAAGCAGAGAUGAAAUAGUUGCGUGUUAUUACAUGGAUGCUUCUUGCUUGGCGCGGCGCGAAGACGAGGAGGAGGAUCCGCGGCCGCGCCUGUGGCGGUUGUAUCCCAUCCCGGACGGCUUCCCGGCGGCGGCUUCGCUCGGCUCAAGAGAAGGUUUAGGACUUGCGGUGGAUGACUAGUAGGGGUGCGGUAGGGCGGGCUGCGGACCGCCGCGCUGGUGGCGAUUCCGUUUGUCGGCUACGCGGUUGCCCACGAAGGCGGCGGCUGGCGGCCGGAGAAGGGAACUCACAGGUCUCACUCAGCCGCAACCGCACGGGGGCACGGCACGAGCAACCCGGGGCGAUGCGACGAUGCCGAAGGGCUUGCGGCGCCCUAGCGGGCCUUCCUUGUCGUAUAAUGGGCCUGGAAGGCCAGUUGCCUUUUCGGGGUGGGCUUGUCAAGAAGGCAUGUGGAUUAUAAGUCAGGCCCUCCGUGCUGAGUGACUGAGUGAGUGUAGCCCCGCCCGGACCUCAAUCAUCGUCCAGCCCAGCGGUGCAACAUUCUGACAGUGUUAGUGGGCCGAAUGUCCUUGCAACCAGCACAUCAACCGAUCAACGCAUUAUACCAUCAUGCUUGCAUACCUGUCUUGACCUUGGACGAAAUGCAUGGGCAGGUUGAUCCUUCGUUGGCGUGUCAACCAUGGCAACUCAUUCGCUGCCACUGUCCCGGGAUUUUUUUAAAAAAUGAUUGAGACCAAAAGCAAUACACGGACAUGACACGAAUAUAGUAGCUCAUCUACAUCUUCGGGUCGUUCGUACUAGGUUGCUUCACAAGAGGAUCAUUUUCGUCUUUUUAUUUUUGCCCCUGAUUUUUUCGAUCCAUGGUUUAUAUGUCCUGGUGUCAGAUUGUCUGAAUUAAAAGGUGAGCUUCAGAACUUCUUCAUGUGAUCUUUUCAAAACUUGGCCUGAAACGAUGCCGUCAAAUCGAGAGGGGACAACGAAGACAUGCCCUGAUUUUCGCUCCGUGACGAUACCAUAUCCGUCUAGAGAACUCCCCCUGCUGCUGUUUUAUCGUCUCCUGCUGAGCACACGACCAAAUCUCCAACAGCUGCUUCCUGCAGGCUGACUGAAGAAGUUGGCCGAAAGCAACCGUUCUGUUAUUUUUGCCACUGUGACCGGAAUGCAUCCACAACAUCUGUGCAGUUGUACUAGUCGAUUAAACCAUACACUAUGCAUAUAAAUAAAAUUAAUCAUACAUCAAUAAUGAGAAGAAGAAAAAAAAGUGUGUACAAAUAAUUCCGUCAUAGAACCCUAAUUAAAACAGAAGAGAAAGGAGCUACUCUGCAGAACCAGGAACAAGAAAGGUACAAACAGUAUCUCUAAAGGCACAACAUCGA
rnacentral:lncRNA from 1 species